AACAGAGGCUGCGCGUGCCUUGCCUUGCGGAGGGGAAGCCGCCGGGGAUGGCGGGGACGGUUUGCGAGGGUCUGAAAACAAGAACAGGACGAUUCAGGAAAGCGUUUCAGCGGGUGCUUCAGCCGGAGCAAGAAUCGCCCCCCCCCCCCAGGGGGGGAAGGAGCGCGGCUGGGUGACAGCGACAGAAGGCGGCUAAGGGUGUAGUGACAACAUGCCCAGGGAACCCCUGGCCAUCCCCGAAGGUGCCUGGAGUGCAGCGGAGCCCACAGGCGUCCCCGGAGAGCGCGGCCGCAGCGCUGACCUUGCAGCUCAUGGACACGGAUGGGCUGAAACGUCUGGCUGAGUGUGUGCGUGGCUGGGGGACAGGCGGGUGGCACGGCCGUUCCAGGCCUCGUGACCCCAGGGCCCGAGCAGCUGUGCCCAGACUCCCGGUGGCGUCUGCGGGGUCAUGACGGGGGCGACGUGCUUGGGAAGCGGUUUAGCGGAGAACUGAUCUUAGUAUUUCAUAAACGGCUUCGGCCCCACGUUUACGGAAUCGUGACAGGUCUGGAGGAGUCGCCACAAUACCGUUUCUUCAGGGGCCUACGCUACUGAUCUUCUAAUAGGGGAAACAGAUGCUGCAGGAUUUGGGGAUGUCGGGUUCUCAGGCUACACGCACGCUCCCCAGAUCUCACGGAUCGACACACACGCUCCCCCAGUGUAGACACACUCGCAGGCACGCUCUCGCUCAACUGCCCAGCACACCUGCACUCACAGCAGCUCUCGGGCUCCUGCGUGCGCACCCGCUCCCCGCACACGACCCCAUUACCAGCUUCUUUCUCCUUCCAAGCCAACCCCAUCUCCUCCUUUCUCUGUCCCCACCCCACACCCCGUCAAAUCCUAGCCACAGUCCACACAAGCCAUUCAACAGGAUCUCCUAGAGGCAUGCGGAGGAAAACGCAGGACAGUCCCAGACCCCUUCCCCAGCCCAGGUGCCCACUGGACGGCCGCGCCUGCACGUUGGGCGCACACGCUCCCCGGCCAACCCGCUGAGAUCAGAGCCAACGGCCUUGCACUAACCCAACAGAAAGGCCUCCCUUAGGGCCACGGGUGUCUCCCGCUGCACUUUCAGACCCUAGUCGGUGAAGAAGGGUCCGAUGGAGCAGGAUAAGCCUGGAGAUCGCGGAAGGGGGGCUGGUUUGACGGCGGCGGCCCCAAGCAGAACAGAAACUCAGAAGGACAUCAAGCCUUCCUUCUGGCAGUUUCCGGACUUUAUCUUAGACUGGAGAGAGAGAAACUCCCCCUGCAGGCUCCGUGAACUAAGAUGUCAUGUUGCAGAAGCCCACGUGACAAGGAGCUAGACGCGGCCUCUAGGACCCAAGAGCUUCCUCCAGAACUGAAAGGAGGCAUCCGGCUGACAUCCAGCAGAAAUCUGGGAUCCCUCAGUAAUACGGCUGCAAGGAAACAAAGUUCCAGCAACCAGAACAAACACGGAGGGGGAUUUGUCCUCAGUCAAGCCCCCAGAUGAGAAUGCAGCCCAGCCAACACUUGAUUGCAACCUGUGAGGUCCUGAGCAGAGGACCCGGCUGGCCCGUGCCCGGACUCCUGAUCCAUUAAUCAGCAUGAAUGUUAUUCCUCAUGAGAGAAUAAACGUGUGCUGUUUUAGGUUAACUUUGUGCUGAUUUUACAAUCAUGAUAAUCUGUAAUUGUGAUCAGCGAUAUUGUGCUGAUAACUAUGCCUGGCUUUGCUGGGACGUUACCAUGCUGAAGCUACUUUUCUAGGCCUCUGCUAACUCCCAGCUUUCUUGGUUGCAUGCCCCUCUUGACAUGUUCUGCAUAUAUCCUGUCUGUUCCCUAGCUCCCUGGAGAAGGCCCCCUAAGACAGUCCCGUCAUCAUGCACUCAGAGGUGAUAAUUGAAACCGUGGGAGUCAGUGAGAUCACAGGAGAAAGAGCUCGUUGAGAGAAGAUCAAGACAAGGACUGAACCCUGAGGGACACUCGUAUGUAGAGGUGGCUGGUCUGAAUGGAGAUGUGCUGGAAGCAUAAAACGUGUGCCCAAUCUCAGAUGCUUAAUGUGGAAGGAAGAAUGUGAAAUAUCUCAGUAUAUUUCGCAAGCAUUACAUGUUUAAAAGAUAAUAUUUUGGAUGUGUCAGGCUAAAUAAAAUAUAUUAUUAGAUUUAA